UAAUUAAAUAUUUAUUUAUUAUAAUUAUUUAUUAUAACUUUUCAAAAAUAUUUUAUUGUUUAGUAUUCUUUAUAGAAGUACUUAUAUUAUAAUAAUAGUUUAUUAGUACUGUAAGGGAAUAUAUUUAAAUUAUAUUAAAGUAUAAUUAAUUUUUAGUACCUUUUGUAUCAGGGUUUAUUAAAUAUAUCUCAUGUAUAUGAGUAUCCCGAAUUUAUAGGAUCUAUAUUAUUACACUUUAUAAUGUGACAUAAUUAUAUGUAAUAAUAAUAUAGCAAUUAUAUGUUAUACAACUGUAAUAUAUCUGGUUUACUAAUAAUUGAAUUUAAUUCAUGUAUACAUAUAAUUUAUAUUAAAUUGAUUAUAUCAAUUAAUUGUAUACUACCUUAAUUGGGGAUAAGCUCAAUGUAGCUCCUAUAAUUAAUAUUACUUAUAUAGCAUAGUAGGCUUAGUAUUAGCCAUCUUUAUAUUUCAUUAUAGAAGUCCUAUAUAUAGUUUUUAUUUUAUAUAUAUUUAGAAUUAUAUUAGUAUAAUAUACUUAAUACAUUACGUAUAUGUAAUAAUGAUAGAAUUAGUAUUAUACUUAUAUAAGAUAUAGUAACUCGGCAAAUAUAAUCUUCACCUGUUUAACAAAAACAUGGCCUUUUGAAUAAUAAAUAUAAGGUCUGGCCUGCCCAAUGAUUACAUUUAAUGGCCGCAGUAUCCUGACUGUGCGAAGGUAGCAUAAUCAUUUGUCCUUUAAUUGGGGACUUGUAUGAAUGGUCUGAUGAAGGAUUACCUUUCUUUAUUCUUAUAUAUAAGAACUUAAUCUAUAAGUUAAAAAGCUUAUAUUAUUUUAAGUGACGAGAAGACCCUGUAGAACUUUACUAUAAUGAAUAUACUGUUUAAUAUAUAUUAUUAAAUAAAUAGUUAUUUAUAAUAGUUUUGUUGGGGUGACAAUUAAAUUUAUUAAACUUUAAUUUGAAUUAAUUCAUUAAUUAGUGAUUUAUAUUGAUCCUAUAUUAUAGAUUAUAAGAAUAAGUUACCUCAGGGAUAACAGCGUAAUUCUAUUGGAGAGUUCAUAUUAAUAAUAGAGUUUGCGACCUCGAUGUUGGAUUAAAAUAAGUGUUAGGUGCAUAAGUCUAAUAACUAAGUCUGUUCGACUUUUAAUAUUUUACAUGAUCUGAGUUCAAACCGGCGUAAGCCAGGUUGGUUUCUAUCUUUAAAUUAAUACUAAUAUUUUAGUACGAAAGGACCAAAUAUUAUAAAUAUUUUAUUUUUAAAGUUGAUUAAUAUUA
rnacentral:rRNA from 1 species